rnacentral:rRNA from 1 species
GACGAACGCUGGCGGCGUGCUUAACACAUGCAAGUCGAGCGGUAAGGCCCUUUCGGGGGUACACGAGCGGCGAACGGGUGAGUAACACGUGGGUGACCUGCCCUCAGCUCUGGGAUAAGCCUGGGAAACUGGGUCUAAUACCGGAUAUGACUCCAUGACGCAUGUUGUGGGGUGGAAAGCCUUGUGCGGCUGAGGAUGGGCCCGCGGCCUAUCAGCUUGUUGGUGGGGGAUGGCCUACCAAGGCGACGACGGGUAGCCGGCCUGAGAGGGCGACCGGCCACACUGGGACUGAGACACGGCCCAGACUCCGUACGGGAGGCAGCAGUGGGGAAUCUUGGACAAUGGGCGCAAGCCUG